GGAUAGAGAUCUCAAUCCCAUUUAAAAACAUAAUAAUGUUUCUCAUUUUUCAUACUUGAAAGCUAUGAAAUUCGUUAAAAUAAUGAAAGACACAAUUAGACAAAAGUCCUAAUCUAGUUGUACAUAUCAUCAUAAGUUAUCUGCUUACAUUAUAUUCUUGUUAUUGUAGAUUAACUGUAUAAAUGGCAUCCUUACUGUCACUUCGAGGCAUACUAGAUACUAAUAAAUUGAUCAGAUCAAAUUAUAUGGACUAAUUGAGAAAUCUGAAAAUAGUUCUCACGCAGGAGAAAGUCUCCUAUAUACUAGAUUCACCUACACCUGAU
rnacentral:lncRNA from 1 species